rnacentral:rRNA from 1 species
AGAGAGAGACAUGCGCGCAUAUCAAUAAGCGGAGGAAAAGAAACUAACAAGGAUUCCCUUAGUAACGGCGAGUGAAGCGGGAAGAGCUCAAAUUUGAAAUCUUCAAGGUUUUACCUUGACGAAUUGUAGUUUAAAGAAGUGGUUUUCUGCUGAAGUUUUGGUAAAAGUUCUUUGGAAUAGGACAUCAUAGAGGGUGAGAAUCCCGUAUUUGACCAUUAUUUUCAGCUUUGUGAUACACUCUCAAAGAGUCGGAUUGUUUGGGAAUGCAGUCCAAAAUGGGUGGUAAAUUUCAUCUAAAGCUAAAUAUUGGCGAGAGACCGAUAGCGAACAAGUACCGUGAGGGAAAGAUGAAAAGAACUUUGAAAAGAGAGUUAAACAGUACGUGAAAUUGUCAAAAGGGAAGCGUUUGACACCAGUGUUGUUUUCUCGAAAAUCAAUUAAAAAUGGCUCGAUUUUGUAUUGCUUGAGACCUUAAAAGCUCACUGUACAUUUUUCGUGUCUUUUUUAAUGCACUUUUCGUUUAACAAGUCAACAUCAGUUUCUUUUGUUGUAAAAGGGUCAUUGGAAGGUGGCUUUCUUUUCGGAGAAAGUGUUUAUAGCCUUUGGCCUCUGCAAUCGGAGAGACUGAGGUCUGCAGCGUAGACUCUUCGGGGUUAGAUACAUUUGUGCUAAGUUAUAGCUUUUUAUAGACAACUUGUUGACUAUAAUUAGUCUUGUAGCUUACUCGCUUAUGCUAUUUUACCUACGCUUAGGAUGUUGAAGAUGUAGCACAUCAU